rnacentral:rRNA from 1 species
CAAGUCGAGGGGCAGCACGGGAGCAAUCCUGGUGGCGACCGGCAAACGGGUGCGGAACACGUACGCAACCUUCCCAUAACUGGUGAAUAGCCUUUCGAAAGAAAGAUUAAUACACCGUAACAUAACGAAGAGGCAUCUCUUUGUUAUUAUAGUAGCAAUACGGUUUUGGAUGGGCGUGCGCCUGAUUAGGUAGUUGGCGGGGUAACGGCCCACCAAGCCUGCGAUCAGUAACUGGUGUGAGAGCACGACCAGUCACACGGGCACUGAGACACGGGCCCGACUCCUACGGGAGGCAGCAGUAAGGAAUAUUGGUCAAUGGACGCAAGUCUGAACCAGCUAUGCCGCGUGAAGGAUGAAGGCCCUCUGGGUUGUAAACUUCUUUUAUCUGGGACGAAAAAAGCUCUUUCUAGAGCACUUGACGGUACCAGAGGAAUAAGCACCGGCUAACUCCGUGCCAGCAGCCGCGGUAAUACGGAGGGUACAAGCGUUAUCCGGAUUUACUGGGUUUAAAGGGUGCGUAGGUGGGUCUGUAAGUCAGUGGUGAAAUCUCCGAGCUUAACUCGGAAACUGCCAUUGAUACUAUAGGUCUUGAAUUAUCUGGAGGUAAGCGGAAUAUGUCAUGUAGCGGUGAAAUGCUUAGAUAUGACAUAGAACACCAAUUGCGAAGGCAGCUUACUACGGAUCGAUUGACACUGAGGCACGAAAGCGUGGGGAUCAAACAGGAUUAGAUACCCUGGUAGUCCACGCCCUAAACGAUGGAUACUCGACAUCAGCGAUACACUGUUGGUGUCUGAGCGAAAGCAUUAAGUAUCCCACCUGGGAAGUACGAUCGCAAGAUUGAAACUCAAAGGAAUUGACGGGGGUCCGCACAAGCGGUGGA